ACCUACUAGCAGUUGAAGCUGCCAGCAUGAUCUAAACUUUCCUUCCAUGUUUGAGGUUAGAUCGGAUCAUGUGGUAGCUUCACCUGUUGUUGGG
rnacentral:pre_miRNA from 1 species